UACGUAGGGCGCGAGCGUUGUCCGGAUUUAUUGGGCGUAAAGGGCUCGUAGGCGGUUGGUCACGUCGGGAGUGAAAACUCAGGGCUCAACCCUGAGCGUGCUUCCGAUACGGGCCGACUAGAGGUAUGCAGGGGAGAACGGAAUUCCUGGUGUAGCGGUGGAAUGCGCAGAUAUCAGGAGGAACACCGGUGGCGAAGGCGGUUCUCUGGGCAUUACCUGACGCUGAGGAGCGAAAGCAUGGGGAGCGAACAGG
rnacentral:rRNA from 1 species